rnacentral:rRNA from 1 species
AUUGAACGCUGGCGGCAGGCCUAACACAUGCAAGUCGAACGAGUGGCGGACGGGUGAGUAAUGUAUGGGAAACUGCCUGAUGGAGGGGGAUAACUACUGGAAAGGGUGGCUAAUACCGCAUACCAUCAGAUGUGUCCAGAUGGGAUUAGCUUGUUGGUGGGGUAACGGCUCACCAAGGCGACGAUCCCUAGCUGGUCUGAGAGGAUGACCAGCCACACUGGAACUGAGACACGGCCCAGACUCCUACGGGAGGCAGCAGUGGGGAAUAUUGCACAAUGGGCGAAACCCUGAUGCAGCCAUGCCGCGUGUAUGAAGAAGGCCUUCGGGUUGUAAAGUACUUUCGGCGGGGAGGCGUUACCCGCAGAAGAAGCACCGGCUAACUCCGUGCCAGCAGCCGCGGUAAUAC